rnacentral:lncRNA from 1 species
GUUUGAAAGGAAUAUAUUUCAUAUACUAGUUCUAGUUUUGUUGAAGAAGAUUUAUUUAUUUAUUUAUUUAUUUAUUUUUGAGAGAUAGGUAGCAUGCUACCCGUUUUAUUUAUUUUAUUUAGAAAUAAACUUAGCUGGAAAUAUGAAUCAACUAGGAUUCGAACUUAGGUCUCGGAUAUCAACCAUUAAAUUUUUUACCACUUGUUCUAGAGAGAGUCGGUUGUUGAAGAAGAUUUAUUAAAUUAGAA